AUCUAUCUUCGGGGCAGGGUGCAAUUCCCGACCGGCGGUGAUGAGACAUUCUCAAAGCCCGCGAGCCUAAUCUACAUGAUUUAGGCAGGAUUUGGUGAGAUUCCAAAGCCGACAGUAUAGUCUGGAUGGGAGAAGAUGGAG
rnacentral:ncRNA from 2 species